GAUGAACGCUAGCGGCAGGCUUAAUACAUGCAAGUCGAGGGACAGCACAGGUAGCAAUACUGGGUGGUAACCGGCAAACGGGUGCGGAACACGUACACAACCUUCCUUUAAGUGGGGGAUAGCACAGAGAAAUUUGGAUUAAUACACCGUAAUAUAGUUGAAUGGCAUCAUUUGAUUAUUAUAGCUACGGCGCUUAAUGAUGGGUGUGCGGCUGAUUAGAUAGUUGGCGGGGUAACGGCCCACCAAGUCUACGAUCAGUAGCUGAUGUGAGAGCAUGAUCAGCCACACGGGCACUGAGACACGGGCCCGACUCCUACGGGAGGCAGCAGUAAGGAAUAUUGGUCAAUGGACGCAAGUCUGAACCAGCCAUGCCGCGUGAAGGAUUAAGGUCCUCUGGAUUGUAAACUUCUUUUAUUUGGGACGAAAAAGGGCCUUUCUAGGUCAACUGACGGUACCAGAUGAAUAAGCACCGGCUAACUCCGUGCCAGCCGCCGCAGUAACAC
rnacentral:rRNA from 1 species